rnacentral:rRNA from 1 species
AUACGUAGGUGGCAAGCGUUGUCCGGAUUUAUUGGGCGUAAAGCGAGCGCAGGCGGUUUUUUAAGUCUGAUGUGAAAGCCUUCGGCUUAACCGAAGAAGGGCAUCAGAAACUGAGAAGCUUGAGGACAGAAAAGGAAAGUGGAACUCCAUGUGUAGCGGUGAAAUGCGUAGAUAUAUGGAAGAACACCAGUGGCGAAGGCGGCUUUCUGGUCUGUUACUGACGCUGAGGCUCGAAAGUAUGGGGAGCGAACAGGAUUAGAUACCCUGGUAGUCCAUACCGUAAACGAUGAAUGCUAAGUGUUGGAGGGUUUCCGCCCUUCAGUGCUGCAGCUAACGCAUUAAGCAUUCCGCCUGGGGAGUACGACCGCAAGGUUGAA